rnacentral:rRNA from 1 species
AUUGAACGCUGGCGGCAGGCCUAACACAUGCAAGUCGAGCGGUUGAAGGGAGCUUGCUCCCUGAUUCAGCGGCGGACGGGUGAGUAAUGCCUAGGUAUCUGCCUAUUAGUGGGGGACAACGUUUCGAAGGGAACGUUAAUACCGCAUACGUCCUACGGGAGAAAGCAGGGGCCCUUCGGUUCUUGCGCUAAUAGAGGAGCCUAGGUCGGAUUAGCUUGUUGGUGAGGUAAUGGCUCACCAAGGCGACGAUCCGUAACUGGUCUGAGAGGAUGAUCAGUCACACUGGAACUGAGACACGGUCCAGACUCCUACGGGAGGCAGCAGUGGGGAAUAUUGGACAAUGGGCGAAAGCCUGAUCCAGCCAUGCCGCGUGUGUGAAGAAGGUCUUCGGAUUGUAAAGCACUUUAAGUUGGGAGGAAGGGUUGUAGAUUAAUACUCUGCAAUUUUGACGUUACCGACAGAAUAAGCACCGGCUAACUCUGUGCCAGCAGCCGCCGUAA